GGUAGGAUGGCCGAGUGGUCAAAGGCAACAGACUGUAAAUCUGUCGGCGAGAGCCUACGCUGGUUCAAAUCCAGCUCCUACCACCA
rnacentral:tRNA from 2 species